rnacentral:lncRNA from 1 species
GUAUAUUGAAUAUAAUUUAUAGAAUAUAUAAAAGAUACAAAAAAUCGUAUUAUUAUCAAUGAUAUUAAAAUGAUUGUAUAAUAAAAAAAUUAAAUAAUAUAUUUUAUCCUCAUUUUUAUUAUCUGCAUGUAAUAAAACAAACAAAUGUACUUUAUUAAAGAGUAAAAAACAACUGGAAAAAACAAAGAAUUAAAAAUAAGAAUAAAAACUACAUAAGAUU